rnacentral:rRNA from 1 species
UCUUCUGGAACAUUACUGACGCUGAGGGCGCGAAAGCGUGGGGAGCAAACGGGAUUAGAUACCCCGGUAGUCCACGCCCUAAACGAUGAACACUAGUCGUCGGAAUGCUAGUCAUUUCGGUGAUGCACUUAACAGAUUAAGUGUUCCGCCUGGGGAGUACGGUCGCAAGAUUAAAACUCAAAGGAAUAGACGGGGACCCGCACAAGUGGUGGAGCAUGUGGUUUAAUUCGAAGAUACGCGAAGAACCUUACCUAGCCUUGACAUUGAUUGAACACUUUAGAGAUAGAGUGGUGCCCUUCGGGGAACAUGAAAACAGGUGCUGCACGGCUGUCGUCAGCUCGUGUCGUGAGAUGUUGGGUUAAGUCCCGCAACGAGCGCAACCCUCGUCCUUAGUUGCCAGCAGUUCGGCUGGGCACUCUAAGGAGACUGCCUUCGCAAGGAGGAGGAAGGUGAGGACGACGUCAAGUCAUCAUGGCCCUUAUGGCUAGGGCUACACACGUGCUACAAUGGGGCGUACAGAGAGUUGCGAUACCGCGAGGUGGAGCCAAUCUCAUAAAGCGUCUCUCAGUUCGGAUUGGAGUCUGCAACUCGACUCCAUGAAGCUGGAAUCACUAGUAAUCGUAGAUCAGCAAUGCUACGGUGAAUACGUUCCCGGGUCUUGUACUCACCGCCCGUCACACCAUGGGAGUUGA